GACGAACGCUGGCGGCGUGCUUAACACAUGCAAGUCGAACGGAAAGGCCCCUUUGGGGGUACUCGAGUGGCGAACGGGUGAGUAACACGUGAGUAACCUGCCCUUGACUUCGGGAUAACUUCAGGAAACUGGGGCUAAUACCGGAUAGGAAUCCUUGCUGCAUGGUGGGGGUUGGAAAGCUUCGGCGGUUUUGGAUGGACUCGCGCCGUAUCAGCUUGUUGGUGGGGUAGUGGCUUACCAAGGCUUUGACGGGUAGCCGGCCUGAGAGGGCGACCGGCCACAGUGGGACUGAGAGACGGCCCAGACGCCGACGGGAGGCAGCAGGGGGGAAUAUUGCACAAGGGGCGGAAGCCGGAUGCAGCAACGCCGCGGGCGGGAGGACGGCCUUCGGGUUGGAAACCGCGUUCAGCAGGGGCGAAGCUUGUGGUGACGGUACCUGCAGAAGAAGCACCGGCUAACUACGUG
rnacentral:rRNA from 1 species